AUUCUGGGAGGAGGAGAAGGAAAGAAAACGAAGGAAGAAGAAAGACAAAAGGGGUUUCUGGGGCCUUCAGGAGGAGAAGAGCCGAGAAGAACGAGAUAAGUUGGCUCCAGCUCUUGGACCUUCGUCGUGUCUUGGAUCAGCUUUCCAUGAGGUGUCCGAGCCUAUCUGCACCUCUGGCUGAUGUCAGCAUAAAGGGUCCUCACAGUGCCUGGUGCAUAGUAGGUGUGCAGUCAACACCUGUCAAUGAAUGAAUGAACAACCACGCACAUACAAAAGAAGAAAGAAAGUCCAAGCGCCCUGACUGAGAUGUGGAAUGUGGCUGUCGCCUUCUGCUAUUUCCACCAGAAACCCACCGCAGAGGUAUUUGUGUGGAAGGCAGGCAGAGGGAGAUUUCGGGAAGUCAGAGGGAAGGUUUCAAGUGCGACAAUAAAAACUUCAAACAGACAUUGGACAGUGCUGUUCUUUAAAGUUUCACCCCUGAGAAGUUUUCAUGGACCCUUUUAUCUCACACAGUUCCCCAGCCUGG